rnacentral:lncRNA from 1 species
AUUUAUUUUUGGGACAGAGAGAGACAGAGCAUGAGCAGGGGAGGGGCAGAGAGAAGGAGACACAGAAUCCGAAACAGGCUCCAGGCUCUGAGCUGUCAGCACAGAGCCCAAAGCGGGGCUCAAACUCACGGACCAUGAGAUCAUGACCUGAGCCGAAGUCGGACACUUAACCGACUGAGCCACCCAGGAGCCCCAUCCAGUCUGCAUUCUUAAUCACGGUGCUAACGGCGGUGGUUGAAGACCAAGAAACAGGUCGGAUGCAGAGCCCGUUCACCUGGACACUGAACUUUUUGGUUGAAAGCUUACCCGAAGCCAACAGGGAGUUUCUGUGCUGGGUGUCUGUGUCUGUGAAGGACCACCUAGUUAUCUGUCAAAAUGCAGCUUCUUCUUCCAUAGAAACAGAACCUCGAUUUAGUUGGAAGUGCCAAAGUGCCCA